rnacentral:rRNA from 1 species
GUAACGGCGAGUGAAGCGGCAACAGCUCAAAUUUGAAAUCUGGCGCAAGCCCGAGUUGUAAUUUGGAGAGGAUGCUUCUAGGCAGCGGCCGGUCUAAGUUCCUUGGAACAGGACGUCAUAGAGGGUGAGAAUCCCGUAUGCGACCGGUUGGCACCUAACACGUAGCUCCUUCGACGAGUCGAGUUGUUUGGGAAUGCAGCUCUAAAUGGGAGGUAAAUUUCUUCUAAAGCUAAAUACUGGCCAGAGACCGAUAGCGCACAAGUAGAGUGAUCGAAAGAUGAAAAGCACUUUGGAAAGAGAGUUAAAAAGCACGUGAAAUUGUUGAAAGGGAAGCGCAUGCAACCAGACUUGUCGGCGGUGUUCCGCCGGUCUUUUGACCGGUCUACUCGCCGCCGGCAGGCCAGCAUCACUUGGGACCGCCGGACAAAGGCCACGGGAAUGUAGCUCCUCGGAGUGUUAUAGCCCGCGGCACAAUACGGCGCGCCCCGAGUGAG